GUCCAUGUAGCUCAGCUGGAUAGAGCACUUCCCUCCUAAGGAAGGGGUCGGACGUUCGAAUCGUCUCAUGGACGCCA
rnacentral:tRNA from 1 species